rnacentral:rRNA from 1 species
UACGGAGGGGGCUAGCGUUGUUCGGAAUCAUUGGGCGUAAAGGGCGCGUAGGCGGCCGAUCAAGUCGGAGGUGAAAUCCCUCGGCUCAACUGAGGAAUUGCCUUCGAUACUGUUCGGCUUGAGUCCUGGAGAGGGUAGCGGAAUUCCCGGUGUAGCGGUGAAAUGCGUAGAGACCGGGAAGAACACCAGUGGCGAAGGCGGCUACCUGGACAGGUACUGACGCUGAAGCGCGAAAGCUAGGGAAGCAAACAGG